rnacentral:lncRNA from 1 species
UCUGCUUUGUUGAGGUUGACCUGAGGUAGAUAGAGAUGUGUUAAUCUGUCGGUCAGCUUUACAUAAAAAUAACAACAUACUGAUUCACUGAUAAUAGCUGUAUUUGGAAAAACUUUUAGGAAUUUUGCUCUAACUUCGUACUUUAUUUGGCCUUUUUAACUUUUUUGGAUUCGAGCAUCACUGAUGAGUCUUUUGUAGACGAAACGCACGUAUGGCGUUUACUAAAUUUAGUCCAGGUAUCUAUGAUGAGUUUAUUUAUAGUGAGUAUUUUAUUAUUUCCAGUAUUUCUGCUUUGUUGAGGUUGACCUAAGGUAGCUAGAGAUGCUUUUGGUCUGACGGUGUGACUUGAUGUAAGUUGCUUGGUCUGAGAGGCUACUUUAGAAAGAAACAACAUAUUGAUUCACUGUUAUAGUGAGUAUUUUAUUAUUACAAGUAUGUCUGCUUUGUUGAGGUUGACCUAAGGAAGAUAGUGUGUUGGUCUGACGGUGUGUCUUGAGGUUAGAUGCUUGGUCUGAGAGGGCUACUUGAGAAAGAAACAAGAUAUUGUUUCACUGUUAUAAUGAGUUUUUUUUAUUAUUACAAGUAUUUCUGAUUUGUUGAAGUUGACCUGUAUUAUGUGUUUUCUUCUGUACAAUAGAAUAAUGGAUAUGUGUUGGUCUGAGAGGGCUACUUGAGAAAGAAACAAGAUAUUGAUUCACUGUUAUAGUGAGUAUUUUAUUAUUACAAGUAGUUCUGAUUUGUUUAGUUU